GUUAUUGAAAGGCAAACCUGCUGAAAGGCAGGGACGCAAAGUUUCCGACCUAAGGGCGCAUGCCUAAGGUAGCGGGACUGCCGUU
rnacentral:ncRNA from 1 species